UGAUAGUGCAUGAAUUCUCACCAGAGAUGA
rnacentral:piRNA from 1 species